rnacentral:rRNA from 1 species
CCUACGGGAGGCAGCAGUGGGGAAUAUUGGACAAUGGGCGAAACCUGAUCCAGCCAUGCCGCGUGUGUGAAGAGGUCUUCGGAUUGUAAGCACUUUAAGUUGGGAGGCGUUACCGACAGAAUAAGCACCGGCUAACUCUGUGCCAGCAGCCGCGGUAAUACAGAGGGUGCAAGCGUUAAUCGGAAUUACUGGGCGUAAAGCGCGCGUAGGUGGUUUGUUAAGUUGGAUGUGAGAUCCCCGGGCUCAACCUGGGAACUGCAUCCAAAACUGGCAAGCUAGAGUAUGGUAGAGGGUGGUGGAAUUUCCUGUGUAGCGGUGAAAUGCGUAGAUAUAGGAAGGAACACCAGUGGCGAAGGCGACCACCUGGACUGAACUGACACUGAGGUGCGAAAGCGUGGGGAGCAAACAGGAUUAGAUACCCUUGUAGUC